ACGCCAGAUCACCAGCUAAGGCCCCUAAAUAAUGACUAAGUGAUAAAGGAAGUGGAAAGGCUUAGACAACCAGGAGGUUUGCUUAGAAGCAGCAAUCCUUUAAAAAGUGCGUAAUAGCUUACUGGUCUAGCAAUUCUGCGCCGAAAACUUAUGGGACUAAGUCAUUUGCCGAAGCUGUGAGAUAAAAGUAAAUUUUUAUCGGUAGGGGAGCGUUCUGUUGUAGGAUGAAGUGUUAGCGAAAGCGGGCAUGGACGAAACAGAAGUGAAAAUGUCGGAUUGAGUAGCGAAAACAUUGGUGAGAAUCCAAUGCUCCGAAAACCUAAGGUUUCCUCCGCAAGGCUCGUCCACGGAGGGUUAGUCAGGUCCUAAGGUGAGGCUGAAAAGCGUAGUUGAUGGACAAUAGGUUAAUAUUCCUAUACUGGGAUUGAUUGGUAACGAGGGACGAAGAAGGCUAGGCUAGCCAGAUAUGGGUUACUGGUUUAAGUUUUCAAGGUAUUGAAGGUUAGAGAAAAUAAUCUGAGCUAAGAAACGAAUACACGAUUUUAAUAAUCAAAGUAGUUGAUGUCAUACUUCCAAGAAAAGCUCGCUAUGCCAUAAAUCAAUUUCACCUGUACCUUAAACCGACACAGGUAGGUAGGUAGAGAAUACCAAGGAGCGCGGGAGAACCCUCUUUAAGGAACUCGGCAAAAUAGCUCUGUAACUUCGGAAGAAAGAGUGCCUUUUAGGCUGCAAUAUCAAGUUCCAAGCAACUGUUUAGCAAAAACACAGGUCUCCGCAAAGUUGUAAAACGACGUAUGGGGGCUGACGCCUGCCCAUGCCGGAAGGUUAAAGAAGUUGGUUAGCGUAAGCAAAGCUAGUGACUGAAGCCCCGGUGAACGGCGGCCGUAACUAUAACGGUCCUAAGGUAGCGAAAUUCCUUGUCGGGUAAGUUCCGACCCGCACGAAUGGCGUAAUG
rnacentral:rRNA from 1 species